rnacentral:rRNA from 1 species
GAACGCUGGCGGCGUGCCUAAUACAUGCAAGUCGAACGGUCUUUCUAUGGAAGCUUGCUUCCACUGAGAAGAUAGUGGCGAACGGGUGAGUAACACGUGGGUAACCUGCCCAUAAGAGGGGGAUAACAUCCGGAAACGGGUGCUAAUACCGCAUAGUUUUCUUGAUCGCAUGAUUGAGAAAGGAAAGAUGGCCUUUGUGCUGUCGCUUAUGGAUGGACCCGCGGCGUAUUAGUUAGUUGGUGAGGUAACGGCUCACCAAGACGAUGAUACGUAGCCGACCUGAGAGGGUGAUCGGCCACAUUGGGACUGAGACACGGCCCAAACUCCUACGGGAGGCAGCAGUAGGGAAUCUUCCGCAAUGGACGAAAGUCUGACGGAGCAACGCCGCGUGAGUGAAAGAAGGUUUUCGGAUCGUAAAACUCUGUUGUCAGAGAAGAACAAGUUGGAGAGUAACUGCUCCAGCCUUGACGGUAUCUGACCAGAAAGCCACGGCUAACUACGUGCCAGCCGCCGC